GUGGGGUAAUUUUCCGCAAUGGGCGAAAGCCUGACGGAGCAAUGCCGCGUGGAGGUGGAAGGCCGACGGGUCGUCAACUUCUUUUCUCGGAGAAGAAACAAUGACGGUAUCUGAGGAAUAAGCAUCGGCUAACUCUGUGCCAG
rnacentral:rRNA from 1 species